rnacentral:rRNA from 1 species
GUGCCAGCCGCCGCGGUAAUACCGGCAGCCCGAGUGAUGGCCGAUCUUAUUGGGCCUAAAGCGUCCGUAGCUGGCUGCGCAAGUCCGUCGGGAAAUCCACUCGCCCAACGAGUGGGCGUCCGACGGAAACUGCACAGCUUGGGACCGGAAGGCUCGAAGGGUACGUCGGGGGUAGGAGUGAAAUCCCGAGAUCCUCGACGGACCGCCGGUGGCGAAAGCGCCUCGGGAAGAUGGAUCCGACGGUCAGGGACGAAAGCUUGGGUCUCGAACCGGAUUAGAAACCCUAGUAGUCC